UACAUAGACCUCAAGCGUUAUCCGGAAUUAUUGGGCGUAAAGCGUACCGAUCGGUUGUUGUACAAGUCAGAGGUGAAAUCCCAGGGCUCAACUUUGGGACUGUCCUUUGAAACUGUACAGCUCGAGGGGCAAAGAGGAAGCUGGAACGAACGGUGUAGUAGUGAAAUGCGUUGAUAUCGUUCGGAACACCAAUAGCGAAGGCAGGCUUCUGGGUGCCACCUGACACUGCUAGGACGAAAGCGUGGGGAGCGAAUGGG
rnacentral:rRNA from 1 species